ACCUUCAUGCGAACGGCAGCUCAUUUUUUUUGUGCGGUGGCGGGUCGUAGAUUCGUUGGGAGGGGUAGGAGGGUUUAAAGAAGACUAACUACAUAACCAAAUAAGCAAAGGAUACUUACACAGACUUGAGGACUUUCCUACUAUUUAAACAAAUUGGGACGCCGUUCGAAAAAUCCUCAAAUUCUCAUAUCGAGUACUUACUGGAAAGCAACUGGGGGACAUUCAUCGUAGAUUCCUCGUUGGGGUUAUAGUGGGCUACUUAUUUAUCAUUAUUGGCUUCUAUGCCAUUAUAUUUUCUUCUGUUCUAAAACUUAUUCACUUGUAUUAGAUAUCUGUUAAUAAUUUUUUUAAAAAAAAGAGGUUACAGAAAUAAAGAUGUGUACAUUUUAUAAUGUUUAUUUAAACCUUAAUACCUUUUUAUUUUUAUUGAGAAUAGACACAUUCUCAAACCAGAAAUGAAUAAUAAUAACAAAAUACAUGAUUUUACAAUUUUUAACCUUAUUUUUAGCAGUGUACCAAAACAAAAAUUUGACAUGGCUGUCAAAUGUCACUGCCAUCUAAUAUUUACUUUACAUAAUAUAUUUUCCAUGUUGAAAACAAACAUUUUUAAUUAUGUAAAACCUUUACCAAUAAUAUCCACUUGUGAAUUAUUUAAAAUAAACAUUAUCAUACCUUGUUAAAACAAAAAUCCAUGUCACAACACUUGGAACUUCAAAAUUUUCCAUUCAGACGGGGCUGGGAGGGGAAGAUAUUCAAAUCAUUACAAAACUGGAUAAAAUCGAUACCAAAUAAUAUCAUCUGGGCAUUUCUUACUGGAACAUGAACAAAUCAAAA